CCUGGUUGAUCCUGCCAGUAGUGAUAUGCUUGUCUCAAAGAUUAAGCCAUGCAUGUCUGAGUACAGACCGAUCUAAGGUGAAACCGCGAAUGGCUCAUUAAAUCAGUCAUAAUUCCUUGGAUAGUGAAAAACUUCCUCGGAUAACUGUGGAAAAUCCAGAGCUAAUACGUGCGACUGAGCUCCGACCUCGGCGCGAGCCUUGGGAAGAGCGCAUUUAUUAGAUUCAAAACUGACCGGCGUACUCCUUCGGGAUGCGCCGUUUGUCUAAAGUUUGAUGACUCCGGAUAACUUAGCCGAGCGCUACGGUCCUAGUACCGGCGCCGUAUCUUUCAAGUGUCUGCCUUAUCAGCUUUCGAUUGUAGGUUAAACGCCUACAAUGGCUGUAACGGGUAACGGGGAAUCAGGGUUCGAUUCCGGAGAGGGAGCCUGAGAAACGGCUACCACAUCUAAGGAAGGCAGCAGGCACGCAAAUUACCCACUCCCAGCCCGGGGAGGUAGUGACGAAAAAUAACGAUGCGAGACUCUUCCGAGGCCUCGCAAUCGGAAUGAGUCCAGUUUAAAUCCUUGGACGAGGAUCCAUUGGAGGGCAAGUCUGGUGCCAGCAGCCGCGGUAAUUCCAGCUCCAAUAGCGUAUAUUAAAGUUGCUGCGGUUAAAAAGCUCGUAGUUGGACUUCCUAGAUCCAUUUCACGAACGAGUCGCUCGUUGAGCUAGCUUCUCGCGCAGUCACUUACCGAAGUCGUAUCGCUCCGUUUUUCGUGUAUUGUACUUGUACUUUCCGUUGAUGGUUGCGUACGUUCUGAGGGAAGCGGACGACGGGAGGCUGUCUUCGAGUAUCGCUCGUCCGCGUUUGGUACAAUUAAAAUUUUGUCGGCUCGCUCGGAGUGCUCUUUACCGAGUGUUCCAGGGUGGCCGACACGUUCACUUUGAAAAAAUUAGAGUGCUUAAAGCGGGCUCAUACGUGGCCUGAAUGUCUGUGCAUGGAAUGAAGUAACAGGACCUCGAUUCUGUUGUUUUUGUCGGUUUUAUUGAACCGAGGUAAUGAUUAAAAGGGACAGACGGUGGCAUUAGUAUUGCGGCGCUAGAGGUGAAAUUCUUGGACCGCUGCAAGACUAACUACUGCGAAAGCAUUUGCCGAGAAUGUUUUCAUUAAUCAAGAACGAAAGUUAGAGGAUCGAAGGCGAUCAGAUACCGCCCUAGUUCUAACCCUAAACUAUGCUAACUAGCGAUCCGCCGGAGUCAUUCCCACGACCCGGCGGGAAGCCCCAGGGAAACCAAAGUCUUUGAGUUCCGGGGGAAGUAUGGUUGCAAAGCUGAAACUUAAAGGAAUUGACGGAAGGGCACCACCAGGAGUGGAGCCUGCGGCUUAAUUUGACUCAACACGGGAAACCUCACCAGGCCCGGACAUCAUAAGGAUUGACAGGUUGAGAGCUCUUUCUCGAUUUGAUGGGUGGUGGUGCAUGGCCGUUCUUAGUUGGUGGAGUGAUCUGUCUGGUUGAUUCCGAUAACGAACGAGACUCUGCCCUACUAACUAGUCGACGGAUCGUAACCCUGAGAUGGCCGUUCGUAUAGGUCGGUAUGUCCUAGAUGUAGCACUCUUGGUCGCUUGUCGUGCAUGCCUCGCGUGUGUAUCGGCUCGUGGUCGGGGUCUUCGUCGAAGCUGCCGUCUGAUUGCGACGACUGCUGGGGGCGUCCGUCGCAAUGUAUCUUCUUAGAGGGAUCAGCGGCGUAUAGCCGCACGAGAUAGAGCAAUAACAGGUCUGUGAUGCCCUUAGAUGUUCUGGGCCGCACGCGCGCUACAAUGUAUAGAUCAGCGUGCUUUCCCUCUCCGAAAGGAGCGGGUAACCCGAUGAAACCCAUACCCGAUUGGGAUUGGGGAUUGCAAAUAUUUCCCAUAAACGAGGAAUUCCCAGUAAGCGCGAAUCAUUAAUUCGCGCUGAUUACGUCCCUGCCCUUUGUACACACCGCCCGUCGCUACUACCGAUUGAAUGAUUCAGUGAGGGCAUCGGACUGGCGCCUUCGGUUUAGUAACAUAGACCUUAGGCUGACGGAAAGAUGUCCGAACUUGAUCAUUUAGAGGAAGUAAAAGUCGUAACAAGGUUUCCGUAGUGAACCUGCGGAAGGA
rnacentral:rRNA from 1 species